AGGGCUUUAUCUUAAUUUAAAGGGCCUGAGUUGCAUUCAGGAGAUGUAGGUUAAUAUCCUGCAAGUCCUA
rnacentral:tRNA from 10 species